GACGAACGCUGGCGGCGUGCUUAACACAUGCAAGUCGAACGGAAAGGCCCUGCUUUUGUGGGGUGCUCGAGUGGCGAACGGGUGAGUAACACGUGAGUAACCUGCCCUUGACUUUGGGAUAACUUCAGGAAACUGGGGCUAAUACCGGAUAGGAGCUCCUGCUGCAUGGUGGGGGUUGGAAAGUUUCGGCGGUUGGGGAUGGACUCGCGGCUUAUCAGCUUGUUGGUGGGGUAGUGGCUUACCAAGGCUUUGACGGGUAGCCGGCCUGAGAGGGUGACCGGCCACAUUGGGACUGAGAUACGGCCCAGACUCCUACGGGAGGCAGAAGUGGGGAAUAUUGCACAAUGGGCGGAAGCCUGAUGCAGCAACGCCGCGUGCGGGAUGACGGCCUUCGGGUUGUAAACCGCUUUCGCCUGUGACGAAGCGUGGGUGACGGUAAUGGGUAAAGAAGCACCGGCUAACUACGUG
rnacentral:rRNA from 1 species